rnacentral:rRNA from 1 species
GACGAACGCUGGCGGCGUGCCUAAUACAUGCAAGUCGAACGCAGUGGGGACGGGUGAGUAACACGUGGGUAACCUCCCAUCAGAGGGGAUAAAACUUGGAAACAGGUGCUAAACCGAUACUGAUGGAUGGACCCGCGGUGCAUUAGCUAGGUGGUGAGGUAAAGGCUCACCAGGGCCACGAUGCAGAGCCGACCUGAGUGGGUGAUCGGCCACACUGGGACGGCGACCAGGCCCAGACUCCUACGGGAGGCCACAGUAGGGAAUCUUCUGCAAUGGGCGAAAGUCUGACCGAGCAGCGCCGCGUGAGGGAAGAAGGUUUUCGGAUCGUAAAACUCUUGUUUUAGAGAAGCGGUAUCUAACCAGAAAGCCACGGCUAACUACGUGCCAGCAGCCGCGGUAAUAC